rnacentral:rRNA from 3 species
UGGUGGGUAGUUUGACUGGGGCGGUCUCCUCCUAAAGAGUAACGGAGGAGCACGAAGGUUGGCUAAUCCUGGUCGGACAUCAGGAGGUUAGUGCAAUGGCAUAAGCCAGCUUGACUGCGAGCGUGACGGCGCGAGCAGGUGCGAAAGCAGGUCAUAGUGAUCCGGUGGUUCUGAAUGGAAGGGCCAUCGCUCAACGGAUAAAAGGUACUCCGGGGAUAACAGGCUGAUACCGCCCAAGAGUUCAUAUCGACGGCGGUGUUUGGCACCUCGAUGUCGGCUCAUCACAUCCUGGGGCUGAAGUAGGUCCCAAGGGUAUGGCUGUUCGCCAUUUAAAGUGGUACGCGAGCUGGGUUUAGAACGUCGUGAGACAGUUCGGUCCCUAUCUGCCGUGGGCGCUGGAGAACUGAGGGGGGCUGCUCCUAGUACGAGAGGACCGGAGUGGACGCAUCACUGGUGUUCGGGUUGUCAUGCCAAUGGCACUGCCCGGUAGCUAAAUGCGGAAGAGAUAAGUGCUGAAAGCAUCUAAGCACGAAACUUGCCCCGAGAUGAGUUCUCCCUGAGACUUUAGGUCUCCUGAAGGAACGUUGAAGACGACGACGUUGAUAGGCCGG